rnacentral:rRNA from 1 species
GCUUCUAGCUUGCUAGAAGUGGAUUAGUGGCGCACGGGUGAGUAAGGUAUAGUUAAUCUGCCCUACACAAGAGGACAACAGUUGGAAACGACUGCUAAUACUCUAUACUCCUGCUUAACACAAGUUGAGUAGGGAAAGUUUUUCGGUGUAGGAUGAGACUAUAUAGUAUCAGCUAGUUGGUAAGGUAAUGGCUUACCAAGGCUAUGACGCUUAACUGGUCUGAGAGGAUGAUCAGUCACACUGGAACUGAGACACGGUCCAGACUCCUACGGGAGGCAGCAGUAGGGAAUAUUGCGCAAUGGGGGAAACCCUGACGCAGCAACGCCGCGUGGAGGAUGACACUUUUCGGAGCGUAAACUCCUUUUCUUAGGGAAGAAUUCUGACGGUACCUAAGGAAUAAGCACCGGCUAACUCCGUGCCAGCAGCCGCGGUAAUACGGAGGGUGCAAGCGUUACUCGGAAUCACUGGGCGUAAAGGGCGCGUAGGCGGAUUAUCAAGUCUCUUGUGAAAUCUAAUGGCUUAACCAUUAAACUGCUUGGGAAACUGAUAGUCUAGAGUGAGGGAGAGGCAGAUGGAAUUGGUGGUGUAGGGGGUAAAAUCCGUAGAUAUCACCAAGAAUACCCAUUGCGAAGGCGAUCUGCUGGAACUCAACUGACGCUAAGGCGCGAAAGCGUGGGGAGCAAACAGGAUUAGAUACCCUGGUAGUCCACGCCCUAAACGAUGUACACUAGUUGUUGGGGUGCUAGUCAUCUCAGUAAUGCAGCUAACGCAUUAAGUGUACCGCCUGGGGAGUACGGUCGCAAGAUUAAAACUCAAAGGAAUAGACGGGGACCCGCACAAGCGGUGGAGCAUGUGGUUUAAUUCGAAGAUACGCGAAGAACCUUACCUGGGCUUGAUAUCCUAAGAACCCUUUUAGAGAUAUGAGGGUGCUAGCUUGCUAGAACUUAGAGACAGGUGCUGCACGGCUGUCGUCAGCUCGUGUCGUGAGAUGUUGGGUUAAGUCCCGCAACGAGCGCAACCCACGUAUUUAGUUGCUAACGGUUCGGCCGAGCACUCUAAAUAGACUGCCUUCGUAAGGAGGAGGAAGGUGUGGACGACGUCAAGUCAUCAUGGCCCUUAUGCCCAGGGCGACACACGUGCUACAAUGGCAUAUACAAUGAGACGCAAUACCGCGAGGUGGAGCAAAUCUAUAAAAUAUGUCCCAGUUCGGAUUGUUCUCUGCAACUCGAGAGCAUGAAGCCGGAAUCGCUAGUAAUCGUAGAUCAGCCAUGCUACGGUGAAUACGUUCCCGGGUCUUGUACUCACCGCCCGUCACACCAUGGGAGUUGAUUUCACUCGAAGCCGGAAUACUAAACUAGUACC